rnacentral:lncRNA from 1 species
UGCGCAUGCGGCCGAGUGCGGGACUGGGGCUCCUGGCUGUGGGUGUGGUACUGAGGCUUCAGCGGGUGCCGCCCGCCUAGAGGGAGUGGAGCGAGAGCCUACGACUAGAUUUGCAUCUUUACGUCCUGCGCGGAGGCUGCUACACACAUGCAGAAGUCAUGCUGGUGGCCUGGACAUUGAAGGGAGAGAAGUGGAUUUGGGAGACAUUUAGGAGGUAAGAUUGCUAGGACCUUGGUGAUAGCUUGGACAUGGAGGGUGGAGGAGGAGGGGUGUCUAGCAUAAUGCUCUUAGGUUACCACCUGGGAUAUUAG